rnacentral:rRNA from 1 species
AAAACGACUCUCGGCAACGGAUAUCUCGGCUCUCGCAUCGAUGAAGAACGUAGCGAAAUGCGAUACUUGGUGUGAAUUGCAGAAUCCCGUGAACCAUCGAGUCUUUGAAUGCAAGUUGCGCCCCAAGCCGUUAGGCCGAGGGCACGCCUGCCUGGGUGUCACGC